GAUGAACGCUGGCGGCGUGCCUAAUACAUGCAAGUCGAACGAAACUUCUUUAUCACCGAGUGCUUGCACUCACCGAUAAAGAGUUGAGUGGCGAACGGGUGAGUAACACGUGGGCAACCUGCCCAAAAGAGGGGGAUAACACUUGGAAACAGGUGCUAAUACCGCAUAACCAUAGUUACCGCAUGGUAACUAUGUAAAAGGUGGCUAUACUACCGCUUUUGGAUGGGCCCGCGGCGCAUUGGCUAGUUGGUAGGGUAAAGGCUUACCAAGGCAAUGAUGCGUAGCCGAAUUGAGAGGUUGAUCGGCCACAUUGGGACUGAGACACGGCCCAAACUCCUACGGGAGGCAGCAGUAGGGAAUCUUCCACAAUGGGCGAAAGCCUGAUGGAGCAACGCCGCGUGGGUGAAGAAGGUCUUCGGAUCGUAAAACCCUGUUGUUAGAGAAGAAAGUGCGUGAGAGUAACUGUUCACGUUUCGACGGUAUCUAACCAGAAAGCAACGGCUAACUACGUG
rnacentral:rRNA from 1 species